rnacentral:rRNA from 1 species
AACGAACGCUGGCGGCAGGCUUAACACAUGCAAGUCGAACGGGCCCUUCGGGGUCAGUGGCAGACGGGUGAGUAACACGUGGGAACGUGCCCUUCAGUUCGGAAUAACCCAGGGAAACUUGGGCUAAUACCGGAUACGCCCUUUUGGGGAAAGAUUUAUCGCUGAAGGAUCGGCCCGCGUCUGAUUAGCUAGUUGGUGGGGUAAAGGCUCACCAAGGCGACGAUUAGUAGCUGGUCUGAGAGGAUGAUCAGCCACACUGGGACUGAGACACGGCCCAGACUCCUACGGGAGGCAGCAGUGGGGAAUAUUGGACAAUGGGCGCAAGCCUGAUCCAGCCAUGCCGCGUGAGUGAUGAAGGCCUUAGGGUUGUAAAGCUCUUUCGGCGGGGACGAUAAUGACGGUACCCGCAGAAGAAGCCCCGGCUAACUUCGUGCCAGCCGCCGCAGUAACAC